rnacentral:rRNA from 1 species
GACGAACGCUGGCGGCGUGCUUAACACAUGCAAGUCGAACGGAAAGGCCCUGCUUUUGUGGGGUGCUCGAGUGGCGAACGGGUGAGUAACGCGUGAGUAACCUGCCCUUGACUUUGGGAUAACUUCAGGAAACUGGGGCUAAUACCGGAUAGGAGCUCCUGCUGCAUGGUGGGGGUUGGAAAGUUUCGGCGGUUGGGGAUGGACUCGCGGCUUAUCAGCUUGUUGGUGGGGUAGUGGCUUACCAAGGCUUUGACGGGUAGCCGGCCUGAGAGGGUGACCGGCCACAUUGGGACUGAGAUACGGCCCAGACUCCUACGGGAGGCAGCAGUGGGGAAUAUUGCACAAUGGGCGGAAGCCUGAUGCAGCAACGCCGCGUGCGGGAUGACGGCCUUCGGGUUGUAAACCGCUUUCGCCUGUGACGAAGCGUGAGUGACGGUAACGGGUAAAGAAGCACCGGCUAACUACGUG